UGAAACUCUAGAGAGAGAAACUAUAGAGAGAAAGAAGAAAAGUAUUCUACUACUUUUAUUGUAAUUCAGAAUGACGUAGUUGUUUUAUUUAUUUAUUCUAGCAAUUUAUAUUAGUUUAAUUUGGGGUAUGCUUCAGGAGAGAAGUCGAGAUUAAAAUUGAGUAAAAAAAAAAAGUUAUAAUCUCAUAAGAAGGUUCGUACUCUUUAAAAACUUGGAAUUGAAAUUCCAUAGAAUUUGUGAGAGGGGGGUGGAAAUGAUGAAAUCAGCCUUCACCCAGUGAGGGUUGCUUGUAAUAUAAUAUGGAUAGAUAGAUAUACCCAGUUUAACUGGUGCUUCUUGUUCUUGUUGUUUUGCUGUUGGAUCUGUCGAUGGUCUUGACAUUGGAGCGGAGGGAGUAUUAUUAUUAUUAUUAUUAUUAUUAUUAUUAUUAUUAUUAUUAUUCAUUACUAUGAGAGGCUGUGAUGAUAUUUUUUCUAUUCUAUCAGAGCAAACCCAGUCGAGCAUAUCCAGAUUCUUCUACGGUAAGAGAUAUUAUUUUUCGAAUUCGUAUUAAUAUUAUUUUGUUCAAUAUUCGAAAUAAAUAUUAUUUUCGUUUAAUAUUCGUAGAAAUAUUAUUUUCAUUCAAUCGUCAUAAAAAAUAUUAUUUAUAUAUAUAUAUAUAUAUAUAUAUAUAUAUAAUAAUUCUCGUAAAAUCACAACACCACGUUUUUAAAAAUAAAACAAGGGUGUUACUGUAUUUUGUAAUAUGAAUAUUAUAUAUAUAAUUUGGAUCAUGUUAUUCAAAAGUAACUGAUGAUUCACGGAUCAUAUAUGUUAAUACAUGAUUUUGUUUUCUGUAGCAAUAUAUGUUAGUAUAUGUUAGUUUGGAUCUUGUUUCAAGUAAUACAUGAUCUGGUGAUAAUUCGUACGUGAUUCGCGCACGGUAAUGAGCAACCAGAUUAUUAUUAUUAUUUGUAAAGGGAUAUUAUUAUAGUAAGGGAUAUUAUUUGUUGUACCCGUAAGGGAUGUUAUUUCUUUUGUAUUCAUGAUGAGAACUUCUGUUAUUCCAUUAUUUAUUAUUCUGCUGGAAUAACCAGUAUACGCGGACUACCCUAUACUUGGUGACAUUCUUCUAUUAUUCUGUCUUUAUUAUUAUUCUGUUGGAAUAUCAUGUCUGUGCGUUUUACACCGGACCUGAUUCCAUUAUUUAUUAUUCCGCAUUUAUUAUUCUGUUUGGAAUAACCUGUCUGUGCGGUCUCUAUCGCAUGCAUGGUGAAUCCUUCUGUUAUUCCAUUCUUUAUUAUUCUGUUGAAAUAACCUGUCUAUGUGGAUUACCACAUGCAUGGUGAAUGAUCCUUUGUAUUCAUUCAUUAUUAAAUUGUGGAAAUGAUAUGUAUACGUGGAUUACCGCUUGGCGGGUGAAAAUCCAUUUGCAGUUUCAUAUAUUCUUCAUUAUAUUGUUGGUUAUUGGUUUUACAGUUGUAUGUCUUUAGCAUGUAGUGCAAAGAUGAUAUGUUGUUGAAUAUCUUUGGCCGGUAGUGCAAAGAUGAUAUGUUAUUUGAUAGUUUUGACCCGUAAUGCGAAGAUGGACAGGUGUAUGACGUGAUCAUGACCACUAGUGAUACUAACGAAUAUCCUUGGUCGUAGUGCAUGGAUAAUUCAAUGAUGUGAUUGGCAGGAUCAUGACCAUUAGUUAACAGUUGAAUGUCUUUGGCCGUAGUGCACUGACAGACAAUUGAUUGGUAUGAUCAUGACCAUUGGUUUUAUAGUUGAAUAUCUUUGGCCCGUAGUGCAAAGAUAGACAACUGAUUGGUAUGAUCAUUGUUAUUACAUUUGAAUAUCUUCAGCCUUUGGGGUAAGGAUAUUGAGUAAACAUUCUAUUAAGCCUUUAUGGCAAGAAGGAAAUGUUAAUUCACAUUAUUAUAAAUAUGAAUUGUGAACUUAAUUAUAAUCUUUAGUGGUUCAGGUGAAGACAGGUGAUGAAAGUUCUCUUUGUCUUGGGUACAACGAAGAACUGUUGAUGAGUAUUACAGGAAUAAAAUAUUAAUGAUGGACUUUUAAUUUGGAGGAGAUAGUAGACAUUAUGUUCGACUUGACUCUUCUAAUGGAUUGUUGAUUCCGCUGCAAUUAUGGUUGAAAAGUUUUAUUAUCUACCAUAUGUUAUAAAUCUCUGAUUUAUUCUGAUAAAGGCUGUUGAUAAAUUAAUUAUCUUAGUCAUGAUAUUCUUUACUGGGCUAGUUGUGCUCACCCUUUUGCUUCACAAUUUCUUUCAGGUAAUAAAAGUGUAGCUGGGUCGAGCAGGGAUAACAGGAAAAUAGUGUGAUGGUCCGAGACUGUCGAAGUUUCUCAAUACAUUAUAAAACGACAUGACAUGCAACAAAUAAUUGUAUUGAGGACCUAAGAUGUGUGUGUGUCGUAUUUUAUACGUCAUUUAAUAAUUAAUUUUGGUAAACAAUAAUUUGAGUUUGGAUACUGUCUAUGAGACUAUAUUGUAUUAAAACUCACAGUUAACUGUGGUUGUAUUCUGUAUGACAGUUCAACAGUUGUAUAAAUGAAAUUUGUAUUUGAUUUUUAUAAUGUGAUAUCUGGCGACUCAGAAUGGGUCGUGUGUACCUAUUUUGGGGGCGUCACACAGAUAGCCAUCGAACCCAAAGAUCAGGAGAAGACAAUAUUCAUUUGUCCUUAUGGAACUUUUACCUUUCGAUGAAUGCCAUUCAGGUUGUGCAAUG
rnacentral:lncRNA from 1 species